rnacentral:rRNA from 1 species
UAGGGAAUCUUCCACAAUGGACGAAAGUCUGAUGGAGCAACGCCGCGUGAGUGAAGAAGGUUUUCGGAUCGUAAAGCUCUGUUGUUGGUGAAGAAGGAUAGAGGCAGUAACUGGUCUUUAUUUGACGGUAAUCAACCAGAAAGUCACGGCUAACUACGUGCCAGCAGCCGCGGUAAUACGUAGGUGGCAAGCGUUGUCCGGAUUUAUUGGGCGUAAAGCGAGCGCAGGCGGAAUGAUAAGUCUGAUGUGAAAGCCCACGGCUCAACCGUGGAACUGCAUCGGAAACUGUCAUUCUUGAGUGCAGAAGAGGAGAGUGGAACUCCAUGUGUAGCGGUGGAAUGCGUAGAUAUAUGGAAGAACACCAGUGGCGAAGGCGGCUCUCUGGUCUGCAACUGACGCUGAGGCUCGAAAGCAUGGGUAGCGAACAGGAUUAGAUACCCUGGUAGUCCAUGCCGUAAACGAUGAGCGCUAGGUGUUGGGGACUUUCCGGUCCUCAGUGCCGCAGCAAACGCAUUAAGCGCUCCGCCUGGGGAGUACGACCGC